GCUACGCCGUGGUUGUGUGCUAGGGACGGUACCAUGUUGGCUGAAGCUAGUCUCGAAAACACGUUGUGUUUCACAGCAAGACUCCAAAAGCACCAAAGUGCGCUCGCUAUCGCGAGAGAGUGCGUUGCCUUAUUUCGUAUGUCACCAUUUGAUGUGCUGUGCUGUGCUUUCAAAGGUCAUCUGAGUGUGAAAACCUGGUAUGGGGUCCUUCUCAUCUUCACAUGCUCUCUCAGAAAAAAACCCAUCAUUGGAACCAUGUUGAUGAGAAAGUUGCAUGCUACUAAACUUCAUGGACACACCUUUAAAUCCUGGGACUCUACUGAGUUGUAUGACCGCACAGAGGGAUUACGUCCACCCUGAAAGGUAUACUAUCAUCCUUAUAAUUAUCAUCAUUUUAUUCAUAACUCUACUACUAUACCAAACUUGCACGUCCAACCCAGUUACUGUAUGCGCAGCGUUGCACACUAACCUAAAUCUACUAAGCUCAUUUAUGUCACAUCUUAAUACAUCAUCAUAACUUCACACCAUCAGUCAUUGUUUUGCACCGUCAUGUAACAACCACGCACACCAUUUAUUACACCCGACAUAAUCCUAAAACUAAAAUGGAAUAACUGUUUCCAAGUGGAUUUUUCUGAUUGUUUGUAUUUUGUCUUUUAUUUUUUACUGCGACGGUGAACCGGUUAAAUGUGGAACCAUCUGCCUAUGGGAGGGCCGGCCAUGAAGACAUCAAUCAGCAUGUGUAUGCUGCGAGGAAAACGACAUUUUACUCAUUUUAAUGUUCAGGACCACAAGGGGUUCAUGGUGACUGGAAUGGACACGGUGUGCUCCUACAAUCCUGAAGGCAACUGGGAGGGUCCUGGCGAUGAAGAGUGGCAUCUUGGGUAUCACAUUUGUUUUCAUAGUUAGUUUAGAUAAAGAAGUAGUAACAAUUCCAAUCUGAAAAAGCUCCAUUUAAUUCAGAAUCUUCCCGUUUUAGUUGUCUUUCGUUUACAGGUUGGCUGUUUGACGUCUGACCGGGACGUUGACUGAACCAUCCACUGGAGAUGCUGGGAUCGACCUGUUGCUGUAUCUGGAUGCCUUACUCUCUACUUCAACAGGGGAUCAUGGUGACUGGAAUGGACACGGUGUGCUCCUACAAUCCUGAAGGGAGUUGGGAGAGUCGACCUGGUGAUGAAGAGGGACAUCUUGGGUAUCACAUUUUGUUUUUCAUAGUGUGUUUAUUCCAAUCUGGAAAAACUCUAUUUAAUUCAGAAUCUUCCCGUUUUAGUCGUCUUUGAUGUGUUAUUCAGGUUGGCUGUUUGAUGACUGACUGGGACGUUGACUGAACCAUCCACUGGAGAUGCUGGAUUCGACCUGUCGCUAGGGUGACUGGCUACCUAGAGGACAACAUCCCAGAGGGCGCCUGGCUACUUAGAGGACAACAUCACAGAGGGUACGUGGCUACUUGGAGGACACCAUCCCAGAGGGUGCCUGGCUACUUAGAGGACCACAUCCCAGAGGGUGCCUGGCUACCUAGAGGACCACAUCCC